UUGGGUACGCGCCUGCCGCAGUAGUUCACGAGGAGGCUCAGGUUGAUGGGCAGGUUGAUGGUGAUGCCCAGCACGUUGGCGCGCAGGGCCGUGCACAGGCACACCGCCGCCUCAAGGUCCGCCAGGCCCUGGAUCAGCGUGCAGCACGGCGUCCGCGGCGGCGUCCCGAGGGUCACGUUGAUCAGCCCCUGUAGCACGUUGGCGCACACACCAAGCUUCAGGGCAUCGAUGGGGCACCUACGACCUUGGCCUCCGCCUCCUCCGCUGCCGC
rnacentral:lncRNA from 1 species